UUCCAGACUCCUACGGGAGGCAGCAGUGGGGAAUAUUGCACAAUGGGGGGAACCCUGAUGCAGCGACGCCGCGUGGGUGAAGAAGCGCCUCGGCGCGUAAAGCCCUGUCAGCAGGGAAGAAAAUGACGGUACCUGAAGAAGAAGCCCCGGCUAACUACGUGCCAGCAGCCGCGGUAAUACGUAGGGGGCAAGCGUUAUCCGGAUUUACUGGGUGUAAAGGGGGCGCAGACGGCGAUGCAAGCCAGGAGUGAAAGCCCGGGGCCCAACCCCGGGACUGCUCUUGGAACUGCGUGGCUGGAGUGCAGGAGGGGCAGGCGGAAUUCCUGGUGUAGCGGUGAAAUGCGUAGAUAUCAGGAGGAACACCGGUGGCGAAGGCGGCCUGCUGGACUGCAACUGACGUUGAGGCCCGAAAGCGUGGGGAGCAAACAGGAUUAGAUACCCUUGUAUGA
rnacentral:rRNA from 1 species